rnacentral:lncRNA from 1 species
UUAUCAGAACACAAAUAACAGUCAAAAUAAAUUAUUUUUUUCAUCAUCUAAAUAGGUGAUGGUGUGUGUCUAAGCACAAAGAGACAACGGAAACCCACCAAAAAGAUUCUGGAAAGCUCCAUAGAAGCUGAACCAAUACUUGUGCCAAAAAGAAAGGUGAAGUCACAGAAGAUUUGCUCAUCUGCACAAUCUGCAAAUUCAGGGAUGGGACAGCAAUCAUCAAAAAGUAAGAACAAACUGUCUUUUGAGUCAGUCGACACACCAACUGCCCCAAUCCUAAAAUGCACAGAGAUGGAGAUAGAAGUUUCUCCUCAUGCAGUUAACCCAGAAUCAGCCGAGGAUGGUUCAGAUGAUCUCAAAUGCUCAGAGCCAGAGAUGGUUGAAUCUAGUUAUGGGUUGUGUUCUGAAAGAGAAGAAAAUUCACAAUCCGAUGAAGGAGUCUCUGAUAAAAGGCUCUCAGUGGAGAAAGGAGGCAGCACUUUACUCAAGGAGAAUGUGUGUCAGGUAAGUCUGUUAAUGAGAACUAUAGUUGUGUCCAGACCAAGAGACAAUAACAGUUAUGU